rnacentral:rRNA from 1 species
UACGUAGGGUGCAAGCGUUAAUCGGAAUUACUGGGCGUAAAGCGUGCGCAGGCGGUUUGUAAGUCUGUCGUGAAAGCCCCGGGCUCAACCUGGGAAUUGCGAUGGAGACUGCAAGGCUUGAAUCUGGCAGAGGGGGGUAGAAUUCCACGUGUAGCAGUGAAAUGCGUAGAGAUGUGGAGGAACACCGAUGGCGAAGGCAGCCCCCCUGGGUCAAGAUUGACGCUCAUGCACGAAAGCGUGGGGAGCAAACAGG